UACGUAGGGGGCUAGCGUUGUCCGGAAUCAUUGGGCGUAAAGCGCGUGUAGGCGGCCAGGUAGGUCCGCUGUGAAAACCUGAGGCUCAACCUCGGGACGUCGGCGGAAACCAUCUGGCUAGAGUCCGGAAGAGGAGAGUGGAAUUCCCGGUGUAGCGGUGAAAUGCGCAGAUAUCGGGAAGAACACCCGUGGCGAAGGCGGCUCUCUGGGACGGUACUGACGCUGAGACGCGAAAGCGUGGGGAGCGAACAGG
rnacentral:rRNA from 1 species